AAACAGUCCUGCAGGGGUUUUCAUCCACAUGUCAGUGUUGGACAUACCAGGACAGCUUCCCUGUUUUCUUCAAGAGAAUCUGAAGUCAAAAAGCUGUUGUCCUGUGAAGCUGGUGCUGAGGUACUGAGGUUCCACCAGCCACAACCCUCUCUCGUGUGCUAGAUAGAUCUAUUGAGCCGUAGACUACGACACAGAAGAGGAGCUCACUGGCCCUGUGUCGCAUUUAAAUCACGUCUUACAUUGCCGGACUGUAAGAAGACAUCAACCUUUUUCUGUGAGUUACGCGAAUUUGGAGAAACUUGGACUGAGCACAGAUUCCAUCUUGAAUGAUACAGGCAUGUGUUUCUUUAAUGUUUGUUGAAAAUAAACAUGGAAAUUUGAAGUGGC